CAGUAGCCGCGGUAAUACAGAGGGUGCGAGCGUUAAUCGGAUUUACUGGGCGUAAAGCGUGCGUAGGCGGCUAAUUGAGUCGGAUGUGAAAUCCCCGAGCUUAACUUGGGAAUUGCAUCCGAUACUGGUUAGCUAGAGUGUGGGAGAGGAUGGUAGAAUUCCAGGUGUAGCGGUGAAAUGCGUAGAGAUCUGGAGGAAUACCGAUGGCGAAGGCAGCCAUCUGGCCUAACACUGACGCUGAGGUACGAAAGCAUGGGGAGCAAACAGGAUUAGAUACCCCAGUAGUCCCUGUCUCUUAUAA
rnacentral:rRNA from 1 species